GAUGAACGCUAGCGGCAGGCUUAAUACAUGCAAGUCGAGGGGCAGCGCAGGGUAGCAAUACCCGGGCGGCGACCGGCACACGGGUGCGGAACACGUACAGAACCUUCCCUCGAGCGAGGGAUAGCCCAGAGAAAUUUGACUUCAUACCUCAUAGUAGAAUGGUGGGGCACCACAUUAUUAUUAAAGAUUUAUCACUUGUAGAUGGCUGUGCGUAUGAUUAGGUAGUUGGGGGGGUAACGGACCACCAAGCCUACGAUCAUUAACUGGGGUGAGGGUACGACCAGGCACACGGGCGAUGAGACACGGACCCGACUCCGACGGGAGGCAGCAGUAAGUAAUAUUGGUCAAUGGACGCAAGUCUGAACCAGCCAUGCCGCGUGGAGGAGGAUGGUCCUCUGGAUUGUAAACUUCUUUUGACUGGGACGAAAAAAGGCUUUUCUAAGUCGUCUGACGGUGCCAGAUGAAUAAACACCGGCUAACUCCGUGCCAGCAGCCGCCGUAAAAC
rnacentral:rRNA from 1 species